rnacentral:rRNA from 1 species
UGCCAGCCGCCGCGGUAAUACGGAGGGGGUUAGCGUUGUUCGGAAUUACUGGGCGUAAAGCGCACGUAGGCGGACUGGAAAGUUGGGGGUGAAAUCCCAGGGCUCAACCCUGGAACUGCCUCCAAAACUAUCAGUCUAGAGUUCGAGAGAGGUGAGUGGAAUUCCGAGUGUAGAGGUGAAAUUCGUAGAUAUUGGGUGGAACACCAGUGGCGAAAGCGGCUCUCUGGUUCGAUACUGACGCUGAGGCGCGAAAGCGUGGGGAGCAAACAGGAUUAGAUA